ACCCUGGACCUCCACAACCACCAUCGAAAAAGCCACCAACUCCAUCGUCUCCUCCUCCAACAUCAAAUAUGUCUCCACCACCACCUAAACCAUCACCGCCUCCACCAACUCCUAGAAUGUCUCCUCCACCUCCAAAAAAAUCUCCUCCGCGUCCCAAACAAUCUCCUCCGCCUCCUAAACCAUUACCUCCGCGUCCCAAACAAUCUCCUCCGCCUCCUAAACCAUCACCUCCGCGUCCAACUCCAAAGAGGUCUCCUCCGCCUCCUAAACCUUCACCUCCACGUCCAACUCCAAAGAGGUCUCCUCCGCCUCCUAAACCAUCACCUCCGCGUCCAACUCCAAAGAGGUCUCCUCCGCCUCCUAAACCAUCACCUCCACGUCCAUCUCCAAAGAGGUCUCCUCCGCCUCCUAAACCAUCACCUCCACGUCCAACUCCAAUGAAGUCUCCUCCGCCUCCUAAACCAUCACCUCCACGUCCAACUCCAAAGAGGUCUCCUCCGCUUCCUAAACCAUCACCUCCACGUCCAACUCCAACUCCAAAGAAGUCUCCUCCUCCGCCUCCUAAACAAUCUCCUCCGUCUUAUAAACCAUCAACGCCAUCACCUACACCCAAAAUUACACCACCACCUCAUGCACUAUCGCAGCUUCCUCUUCUAUCAUCACCCC
rnacentral:lncRNA from 1 species